rnacentral:tRNA from 1 species
GGGCCUAUAGCUCAGCGGUUAGAGCAGGAGACUCAUAAUCUCUUGGUCCCAGGUUCGAAUCCUGGUGGGCCCACCA